GUUUAGUUUAAAGGUAGAACAUUGAAUUUCAAAUUCAAAAGUAAUGGUUCAAUUCCAUUAACU
rnacentral:tRNA from 1 species